AGGGCGGUAUUGACCUGGAAUGGUGUAAGGAGGCCGAGGGUGCGAUCCAGGUUGUUGUGCAUGGGCAUUAUAGUAUGGGCCACGCCACCCUGGAUAAGCAGGUUGACCAUAGUCAUGGUUUGCAGGUGGCUGUUGCUGGGUCUGUGGAGGUGGGUAUGGACUACCAGCUUGAGGAGGUGGGUAUGGACUACCAGCUUGAGGAGGUGCAUAUGGACUACCAGCUUGAGGAGGUGCAUAUGGACUUGUAGGUUGUGGUGGCACAUGGUAAGGAGAUGGCAUCUGCUGCGUUGAGCUAUAGGGGGGAGGGUGAGUAUAUCCAGCAAUUGCUGGCUGCUCAGGAGGAUGGUAGUAUGGUGGGGUUUGAGGACGAGGAUCUGUUGGCUGUUGUGAACCAGGUUGUCCCACAGAACGAUAGUUGUUGUCGUACGCACCUGUGGUUUUCGUAUCCUGGAAACUGAGGCCUGCCAUUUUUUUGUGAACAUCUUCAAUCAUUUCCUUGCACUGAAUGUUUCUAGUCAUCACAAAGUCAUUGCACUGCUGCUUUACAUUCGUUAUUGCAUCCUGUCGAAGACGGACAAAUCAAUCAACCACCAGAACACGAAGUCAUGGAAAUUUCAAACACAACUAGGUGAAGAUUGAUAGCAUGCUGUCACAGCAGACACCAGAAGAGAUCCAACUAUAACAAAGAAAAUAGUGAUCUCAAAUAGCUAUAAAGUAAAGUGCACAUUAUUCAAAAUUACCUGAAGAGUAACAUAGAACUUUAAGCCCUCAUUUAUGUUCUCCUUAAUUUCGCGGAACUUUGCUAUGGCAGCUUGAAUCUGCUUGUAACAUUUCUCACGAGAUGCUGGAACAAAAUGAGAAGGAAACAAACAGGAAAAAUAUAAGAAUACACUCCACCUUAAUUAUAAUAUGCAAACAGAUAGCAUGACAGAAGCAAGGAAAUAGAUUCCAUGUCGUAAGAUAAUCAGAGGACUUCCCUACAAACAUAUUCAAUAUAUGACAAUGAAAACAGCCAACAGAGAAAAAGGCACUUGAAAUAAUAGAUUGUAAGAUAUCAUCAUGGCCAGCAGAACGGGUAAGAGCAAAUAAAAACUUGAGAAACAACAUUUAAUAAACAUGUAAAACACCCAUGUUACACAUGGGUCAGAAUAAUCAAUAUUCCAGAUUGUUUGCAGGCAUAAAUCUGUCUUUUAUCCAACGAAGUGAACAAGGGACAACGUUUCUAAAUUGCCAUAUAUUCAUUUACUAGUUAAUAUGAUAAUCAGUUACGGGGUCAAUAACAUGAUUGAGAUCUCAUUCUGGACAUUUUAUAUUACACCGUCUCUCUUCCCAUGGUAAAGGAAACAAUUUUUUCCAGAUUGAGAUAUAAGUGAACUCCAAAAGGUAGACGUGCACCCUCACCCAACCCACAGGCCCAAGCAUUUAACAAGGUCAUCAAGGGUAGAAUAAUACAACCAAUGAACAUCUACGACUAAAUAAUGCAUCAAUAGGUGUUACCUUAAAGCAUACAAACCAUUUAAAGCAUAAAAGACCUACCUUUAUAAUCUUCUAGAUUGAAGAUUGCAGCAAACUCAGCAUUUUGGGCCUGCAGAUGACAAACACACAUUUUGAUCAUGAGAUAUUUGAGAGCUUAAAUCCAUUUCCAUUUAUUUAGGAAUAUUAUACAAGGAAAGGAAUUUUCAAAACCCAUAGCAAAUACUACAGAUGAAUCUACAAAACAUGAAAUGACAGACAGCUCCUUGGUAAGCAAAUGAUAAUAUGGCAAGUGGCAACUGACUUGAUUUGACAAAGGCAUUUCAUUUCUUUUAACAAAAAAGAAUAAUAGGGUAGUACCACUAUAGCAUAUAUUUUCUCAUCAGACCUCUUCCAAGAUGAUAAAGAGAAUUAAGCCACAGAGUCUGCCACACCGCAUAUUAUUUAACCUUAUCCCUCUACCCACAAUAUAUCCAAUUGGGUCUUUUGAAAGUUACCAAUAAGUAGAACAACAAUGUGCAAAACGAAAGGUGUUGAUUCCAUCAGAAUGUUUUCUAUUCAGUUAUAUCUUAAACCACAAUAUACUGAUUUGGUCUUUGCAAAGUUAAAAAUAAGUAGCACAAAAAUGUACAAAACUAAAGGUUUUGAUACGACAAGAAUAUCGUCCAGUCAAUCUAGUUGCAUAUUAAAAUGAUAGGUACUGCUCAAUGUACGACAUUACCAAUUGCACACUCAAAACAGAUGUGGGAAAAAAAUGAAGAAAUAUGCAUAAAGAAAGUCCAACAACAAUAAAAAGGAAACAGACCUGGAUUUGCUGCAAUAAUUGUUCUUGUGCCUCAAUAUUAUGGGCAAUGUCUUCACUUAUGAGAUCAUACUUAGAUAUCUCCUUCCUGAAAAGAUCCUCAUAGGAGACAGUUGAUGUCAUCAACUU
rnacentral:lncRNA from 1 species